AUAUCGCUGGAGUGUACGACAACCUUACCAAUUUUGAACCUACAUUUUGACAUAAGGGAUUCUAAUUAUUUCUUAAAGGAUGUCAUGCCUUUUAAUUUGGAAGACAGAUCUUAAGGUGAGGAAACCCACCUAGCACUGCUAGGCGUCACUAAGUAAGAACGGCACUUUGGUCACAAA
rnacentral:other from 1 species